AGAGGGGAACCUCUAGAAACCGCGAGGAAGAAGGUCUUCCGGCUCUGCCGGAAGUUUGCCUGCGCGGGACAGGAAGUUCCUCCUCCUCCUGAACGCCGGCAACCCCACGCUACGCAGAGAGUUUCUGUGUUGGUGGAUCUGAGGAAGCCCUAAAAACCAUAAAAUCCGCAAGGGACCCAGAGCAAUGGAUCUGGCUAUCUAUGGACUGAAACCUCUGAAAUUGUUGCUAAGUGGCCCAGGCUGACCUCCAUCAUGCAAAAGAUGUUUUAAGGAAGGGUUAAUACAGAUUUUCUGAAGAAAGAAAAAGGUCUCUUCUCAAUAUGGCUUUGGAAAGUACUCAGAUGGAAGUGAGGUUCAAAAAUGAGCCUGAGUCCUAAGACAUCAACUCAAACUCUCCUGCAGCUCACAAAAGUAAUCCCAGUUUUCCCAAGUUGCCUCUUGCCUCAUCACUGAUACUUGUCUUCCUUAAGGCAAACUCAUUAUCUGUUACUUUUAUCAUCCUAUUUAAAAAGUAUUCUCAGCUUCUUGAAGAAGUGUAAAAAUUAUAUAAAAGAACUAGUCCACACAGAAUUGGAAUGUGCAAGACAAUAUUCAGCCAUGAAAGAAUUGGAAGACUGAAGAAUUGGAAGUCAUUUUGUUCCCACUGCUACUUUAUUCCUACUAACUCAAAAUCUUGAAAUAAAGAGAAUUGAUUUAGGAGAAAUUCACCUAAAGGAGAACUUCUCUAGAAUGGAGACUCAUCUGGUGGAGAUCAACAACAAAGAGGAGUAGGAUUUCACCAUCCAGAAUCUGUAAAUAGAUGCAUGUGGGGCUGUCAGAUACAGAGAGUCAGAGACAUUGGAAGUGGGUUGUUCAGACACCAUACAACCCAAGUGCCACAUUCUGUCAUUAAAUUCAAUUGUGAGAUGAUGAAAAUCUAUUUAUGAAUCAAACAUUCUCCAUGGUCAUAUGGUUAAAUUGGCAUCCAUUGUUAUAGAGAUAGCUAAUAAGUUCCUCUUUAUGUGUAAGAGAUUCCAUAGAAUUUUAGGUAGGUGGUCAACUACUCCACUUGUGAAAAAAUUUUCCACAUAUUUACUUGUUUAUUAAUUUAUUUGCCUAUUCAUAAAAUAAGCAUUUACUUAAAAAUUUGAAAGUGCCAGAAACUAUAUAGGAAACCCCUUUUUGUGAACAUAUGGAAGACACAUGAACCUCUCUGCAAAUUUCUUUCUGAUUGUUAAGGAUUUAUUUACUGAUAUAUGAUGUAGUUCCUUUACCUGUUUUCUCUUCCUCUCUUUGGCUUUCUUCAUGUAUAGUUAGCAAAUAAAAUUGUAUUUAUUUUAGAAAAAA